rnacentral:rRNA from 1 species
GACGAACGCUGGCGGCGUGCUUAACACAUGCAAGUCGAACGGAAAGGCCCUGCUUGCAGGGUACUCGAGUGGCGAACGGGUGAGUAACACGUGGGUGAUCUGCCCUGCACUUCGGGAUAAGCCUGGGUAACUGGGUCUAAUACCGGAUAGGAGCCAUUUUUAGUGUGAUGGUUGGAAAGUUUUUUCGGUGUAGGAUGAGCUCGCGGCCUAUCAGCUUGUUGGUGGGGUAAUGGCCUACCAAGGCGGCGACGGGUAGCCGGCCUGAGAGGGUGGACGGCCACAUUGGGACUGAGAUACGGCCCAGACUCCUACGGGAGGCAGCAGUGGGGAAUAUUGCACAAUGGGCGCAAGCCUGAUGCAGCGACGCCGCGUGGGGGAUGACGGCCUUCGGGUUGUAAACUCCUUUCGCUAGGGACGAAGCUUUUUGUGACGGUACCUAGAUAAGAAGCACCGGCUAACUACGUG